CCUUUGUUGACCAACCAACUCUUCUACUCCUUCCAUACUCUUCAUUAUUCAUUUUUUUUUCAUUUUGACUAUUGAAUUUUUGCUAAUUCUCUUUAUUGCCAAUUAUUGUUCUCGCUUCCCUCAAUCUGUCGUCCCUUCUCCUACUCUCCUCAAAUUUCUAUUUUCUUCCAUUUUUGCUAUUAUGAAUUUCUGUCGCUCCUUUGAUUUCUUUUCUUUUCUUUUUUUUUCUUCUUUCCCUUUUGCUUUUAACCUUUUUUUUAUAUAUAAUCUUACAACCAAUCAUUGAUUUCUUCUUUUAUUGCCUUUUUUUUUAUUCUCUUCUUGUACUAUUAUUUUCGUUUGGGUAGCAACCUUUUUUUUAUCAUCACCAUCCCUAUAUCAAUUUUUCUCUGUGUUGAUCCGUGUCAUAACUUGAUUUUGAACAAUUUUGACUGUGUAUGGUGAGGAGCGUGAAAUACCUAAUCCUCCGGUGAAUUAGGUGUUGAUUGUUCGCUGCUUUUCAGGGUAAGUGAUCGAUGUCUUAAUUUAGAGGCUGGUGUUGGUUUAGUUUUAAGGGCUGAAUGUUUUAAUUGUUGUAAUGCAUGUAAUGUUAAUGGUUUCGUUAUGGUAAUCGUGUGUUGUGACGUGUUAGAAGCAUUCAAGUGUGUGUUCUAACCCCACAUGUUUGUAUGUGAUUCUUACUCGAAAAAAAAAAGAGAAAAUCAUGAAAAUCUUAAAAAUACAUGAAAAUUGAAUCAGCUAAUCGACGCCACACAGCCGAGAGGGACACAGGAGUGUUUGAUUCUAAAAUAUGAAAUACAAACAAUCUUUAAGCAUACAAAACCUUGUAAUCUAUGAAAUAGUACAUACGUUAGUUUUAAUAUGUUCCAAUUAGUAAAUUCUGAGUAAACUAUGUUAUGUUUUUCUCUGUAUCUAGUAUGUACGUAAGACAUGCAUCUGUUUUAAUAUGAAUUCUUUUAUCAUGAUAAAAUUAUAUGCAUGAACAUGUGAUAUGAUUUUUCUACAUGCAUUGGGGUGAGAUAUGGAUAUGCGAUGGAGGAAGUACGUUUCUGGCAGUUUUAUUACAAUUCUGGUAAUAUAUCCGCAACACAUAUUCUGGUAAAUUUACUGCAACUCUGGCAAUAUUUUCACAAUAUAUGUGUAUUUUGGCAGCACAGCUGCAAACUUUCUAACUGGCAUAUGACCACAUUCCGGUGUGAUGGUUGGAUGGAUUCUUGUAGCCUAUUUGGUGUGAUUGGUUGGAUGGAACGGUGUGUAGCGAAUGGGGGUAGGAUUAAUUUUGUUCUAAUAUGUGCAUCUACACAUGUGAGAUUGUUGAUUUGUCUGUUCUAAUAUAUGCAUAUAAGCAUGUUUUCAUGUGAUUUGUACUCGUAGGCCAAGGCACACACUAGGCUUUAGAUCACUUUGUCUAUUUAAUAUUUUUUAGGUGAUUCUCAGACUUAGGAUUUGGCAGCGUUUAAGAGUUCAGCUCGGUUCAUUGUUUUUAAUUCUUUCAGAAACUUAUGUUUUGGAUUUUAUGGACUGGAGUGCCGAACUAUUUUAAUUUUCGGACAUUAACUUUGGUUUGAAAUUGGUUAAA